UGAGUAGAUGACGUCACAUGGUUACAAACAAAAUGAAAUAUCUCAAGAACUAAGCAUGGGAACCAAAAUCUUCAAAACAAGUUAUUAUACAGUUUUACGAGCACUUUCGUUUAAGAAAAUAAAAAUUUUGAUCAUACUGCCCCUUUAAACUUCGAGCGGAAUUACAUUUUAUACACACACUUUUCCAUGUGCGGAGAUCCUCAACAUCGUAUGUAUUUUCUAAUGCUAAAAUAUAGUACUUGAAAUGUUCGGUCUUUGGAUGUAAUAUGAUUAGGUAGUGUGUUCCAUAUUCUUGAUGUUCGGAUUUUG